rnacentral:rRNA from 1 species
AGGGUGUAAACGCUGCAGACUUGGUGUUGGAGGCCCUUUGGGGGCAUUCAGUGCCGGAGAGAAGUUGUUAAGUCUGCUACUUGGGGAGUACGUCCGCAAGGAUGAAACUUAAAGGAAUUGGCGGGGGAGCACCGCAACGGGAGGAGCGUGCGGUUUAAUUGGAUUCAACACCGUAAAACUCACCAGGGAAGACUGUUACAUGAAGGCCGAGAUGAAGACUCUGCUAGAUUUUUCAGAGAGGAGGUGCAUGGCGUCAGUGACU